GUGUCAGCAGCCGCGGUAAUACGGAGGGGGCAAGCGUUGUUCGGAAUCAUUGGGCGUAAAGGGCGUGUAGGCGGUCGAUCAAGUCGGAGGUGAAAUCCCUCGGCUCAACUGAGGAAUUGCCUUCGAUACUGUUCGGCUUGAGUCCUGGAGAGGGUAGCGGAAUUCCCGGUGUAGCGGUGAAAUGCGUAGAGACCGGGAAGAACACCAGUGGCGAAGGCGGCUACCUGGACAGGUACUGACGCUAACAGCGCGAAAGCUAGGGGAGCAAACAGGAUUAGAUACCCGUGUAGUCC
rnacentral:rRNA from 1 species